UUUAAAACAAAGGGCCUAUUCUUUUCUCCAUCUUUCGCUUUCUCUUUUGGCCAAGUUGCAAAUUCCUGCCCAGAGGAAGUGAACUUGAUCGAUGGGAUGCAAAACCCACUAGCAAAAAGUGAAAUAUUUUAAGAGAGGGGGAGAGAGAGAGAGAGAGAGAGAGAGAGAGGUUCUUAUAUGAAAUGAUGGCUCUUUCAUUUCAUGGGAAGAAGCAAAAGCAUUUAUGCCAAAUGUGCCUGAGACAAGAGGGGAUAUAGAACUCCAUUUGCUGCUAAAUGCCAGAGCUGCUCUCUUCUUAUAUUUCCCUGCCCUGAUCACAUGGCAUGCAUGCUCUUUGUUAUGAUGGGAAUUUGAGCCCCAAUUUGUUCCAAUCCCCAAAAAAAUAUAACCACAACUGAAAGAAAAAAAAAAACCACUUUAUGUUGUUUUUUUAAGCUUUCAUCUAUGGAGGCCACUGAAAUUUAGCAAGAAUCCCCUUUCAUUUUUUUAUCUGAGAUUCUUCCCUUUGUUUCCUUUUUCUUCAUUGAAUAGGAAGAAAACCAUUUAAUUUACUCUACUUUUCAAGCUCAUAGUGAUUUUCAAGACAAACGUCUGUUUCAUAGCCGGAAUUACUGACCUACUGAAAGUAAGUACUAAAGUUCUCAUAUAUUCUUUCUUUAUUGUUGCUAAUCUCUCGCAUGGCAAUGUUGGAUUAAUUUUGCUCUACUUUUGAUACUCAAAAGGUUAUUUUUGAGUGAAGUUUGUUUCAUAGCCGGACUAUCAGGGUAAGUUUCCGAAUACCGAAUACCGCUUCUCGAAUAUUGUCACCGUCUCUCAUGCAAAUAUCUGAUUAAUUUUUUAGCUAUUUUGCAGUGAUUAAUUUAGUUCAUUUGCUAUAGAGCAAAGUAAUGCUGAGGAACAGAUCCAGAACAGUGACCAGCAAGCAACCUCUAAUGGCGGAUUCUCAACCGUCUCUAACUCAAAAAAACUACUCAAAAAGCCCAUCCUUCUUCGACUCUCCAAGAUUCAGAGGCUUCACGAUGAAGGGCAGUUCCGAAACCGAUUCAAAUUUGAUCAGCCCAACUUCAAUUCUUGACACCACCAAGCCAUUCCCCUUCGGAAAAAACCCGUUUUCGGGUGACCAAAUCCAACCCAAAACCCCAAAAAUUCAACCCGGAAACAAACCCUUUUGGGAGAAAUCUGAGGCCAAAGGCAUUGGCCUUGCUCUGGUUCAAACACUCAAAGAUGAAAACUUGGAAGACAAAAAUUCAAAAACCAGUAACCGUAAGGUCCUGUUUGGCACUAAGCUCAGAGUUCAAAUCCCCAAGACUUUGAAUUCCCAGUUUUCAGAAACUGGGUCUGUUAACUCUGGCAUCCAAACAGAGAACCCGAAUUCGGGUUCAGGGUCUGGUUGUGUGAGUGAGAGAAGUGAAAUGGAGCUUUCUGAGGAUUAUACUUGUGUGAUUUCUCGUGGGCCGAAGCCGAGAACGACUCACAUAUUUGAUAACUGCAUUGUGGAAAGUUACCAUACUUUGUCGGAUCAGUCGAGCUCCGGUUCUGAGAAUUUCCUUAGCUUUUGUUACACAUGCAGGAAGAAUCUUGAGCAGAAGAUUGACAUCUACAUUUACAGGUUCGUUUCAAUGGCCCCUUCUUCAAAUGAUUACUCCGAAACUGUUGUUGUAGGAAGUACUUCUGUUCAUAAGGGCUUUUGUCGUAGGUGCUUUUUACUUGAACAACAGGAUUAGUCUUCUUUCCUAAAACACACUUUUAAUACCUACAAAGUCUAUAAGUUUUUAUAUCUAGCGUAAUCAGAAGUGCUUUUUAUCGUCAAAAAACAGUUCUAGCUCUUCUUCAAAUAAUUACUGUGAAAUUGUUUUUGUACGAAAUACUGUUCGUAAGGGCUUUUGUCGUAGGUGCUUUUUACUUUAGGAACAGGAUUAGUCUUCUUCCCCAGAACACACUUCUCCGACCUACAUAGUUUAUAAGUUUUUCUGUCUAGCGUAAUCAUAAGUAUUUCUGAUCGUCAAAAAACACUUUUAGCUUUUUUAGAAGCCAUCUCAAACACGUUCUUAUUCAAUUAUUGGAAGUUUGAAGCACGAAGACGAAGAUAUUGGAUUGCAUGCUUCUCUUAAUAAUCACUAAACAAUAUACAUACCGUUUAUUAUUGGUUUAGUGUUUCUACUACUUUUGAUCAAACAUUUGUAGCGGUUAUAUGUAUCCUACGCUUAAAUCAUUUUUUCAACAUUUGUUUCUAAUUAAAUAACGAUUUAUUGUCUGUUGAAUGUCUCGUGCAGAGGCGAGAAGGCGUUUUGCAGUCAAGAAUGCCGGUACCAAGAAAUGCUCUUGGAUGAAGUUGGGAACACACAACUUGAUGAUACAUUUAGGAGUUGUUCUUGAAUGAUUGAUUUUAGAGACAAAAAAUGUUAGGUCUUCCUAUUUAAUCCUUUUUUAUGUUUUCAUACCCUCUCCACUGCAGAUAAAGAUAAGAGAGGAUGAGGUAUUCUAAGUUUGUAGAGUUCUGAGUUUUUUAAAUUAAUGACUUAAUGUCCUAUGAUUAUGAUAAGUCGUUAUAUGUUUUACGUUUUAACUUGUUCAUCCUUUUAACGUCCUAGGUACAUGUAAAUUCUUCUCCUUCCCUACUUGCAUAACUUGGAAAGACUCAGAACCUGCCCAACUUUAGUCUUUUCUAAUCAAUCGUUGAUAAUUUUAACUGCACAAGAGGUUUUGUUUUUUUGGUUGUGGGGAGGUCAUAAUUUUUUAUUUUCGGUAACGUAAGAGAGUAAAUCACCUCAAAGCUAACUUAAUAAAUGAUAACAACUGCAAAACUAUAGACCAAAAUAAAGUAUUUUAAUUUCAUGCAAACUUAAUGAUAUAAUCGAUAGAAAAAUCACACACAAAAUUAGUAUAGAAAUUUUAAACUCUCGAGAAUAAUUAAAAAGAGGCGACAGUUUGAUCGGAUAAAGGAUAAAUAAAAUGGAGAAAGACUCAGUCCAAUAAAUGGAUCCAAAUUUCCAUACCUAUUAUUUAUACAUUACUUGAUGGCUCGGAUAAUUAAAUAUCGGUAGCAGUUAAGAACUGUGAUGCAAAUUGCAGAGGCUGUCCCAACUUUUGAAGUUCACUUAGAUUUUAGGAUAAAUAUCAGUUUACUAUCCUUAAGAUUUUUAGUUUUUAACAUUUGGUACAUAAAAUUUUUUUUGUUCUAGAGUCAUACCUAAAGUGUUAAUUUUGGAACAGUCUCAUACAUCCGUUAAUCAAACUGUUAACACUGCCGUUAAUUGAUGAUGUGACGCCUAUAUGGACAAUGACUAGACGACACGUGUCAUUAAGGGUCUACGUGAAAAUUAAAAAUUCAAAAAAUAUAAUUAACUAAAUAUUAAAAAAAAUAAAAAAAACUAAACUAAACUAAAAAACCAAAAAAACCCACCCACACCUAGAUCUUCCCCAUCGACCGUUCCCCCAAGCUGGGAUUAAGAACUUGAAGAAGAAGAAGAAGAAGAAGGUUUAGUAAGAGAGAGAGAGAGAGAGAGUGUGUAGGGGGAAAGAGAGAGGGAGUCCCGACCCUCUACGUCACCUGCGACCGCGACAUCCACCCUGCCAACCCUCUUAGCCAACGCCACAAACGAGUCUCGAUCACGCCCUUCUACAACUCGAUGAACUCGGCCACCGAUUUUGUCCCCUCUAUCAAAUCUGUUGUCAACUUCCUCGAUGACAGUUACUUCUCCGACGUUGACGAAGAGAUCGAGGCGAGGAGGGAGACGUCGACAUGAGAGAGAGGGAUGAGAUCGAGAAUCGACAUGAGAGAGAGAGUCCCGACCCUCUGCGUCACCUGCGACCGCAAGAGUGGGGUGGUGAAGGAAAGUUUGGGUUGGAGGGGGGACACUGGUCGACGGGAAUAUCUGGGUGUGGGUGGGAGGGUGGGCACGGGGGAUUUGGGGAAGACGAUCUAGGUGUGGGUGGGAGGGUAGGCACGGGGGGAUUUGGGGAAAACCUCGAGCUUCUGUUCAAAUCAUUCCCCAAUUUUAAGUCUCUGCCUUUAUCCACACAUUUCUCAUCCUCUCUUUCUUCUCUGUGCAGAUGGACCUAAUUGUAUGACUCAAAUUCGAAAAUUUUGGAUUUUGAUUUUGAUUUAGGGUUUUGGAGAAUUAGAGCUAACAAAUAUAUUGGGAGAAUGUUUGUGUUAGGAGCAGAUGAAUGGAGGAGAAGAGGGAAGGGUGGUGAGAGGAGUCGACGAGGAAAUGUCGAUUCGGCUGAUUGGACGCUCGCAACGGCGAUGUGACGAAGGGGAACAGGUCGGUCGCGAUUCGCAAUUGCAAAUGGCAGGUCGAAAGAAGAUGAAAGAAUCGACACCUUAUCUUAACACUCAGACGAGGGAUUUUGGCGGAAUAGGAAAGGAAGCUAAAAUUAGAUAGGAUUUUUUGCGGCAUCUUGGAUUGCUUAGGUGACGAGAAGAUCUGGGUCUUGCUUUUUUCUUUUUUUUUUGAA
rnacentral:lncRNA from 1 species